rnacentral:rRNA from 1 species
GACGAACGCUGGCGGCGUGCCUAACACAUGCAAGUCGAACGAAGCACUGUGGAUAGAGACUUCGGUCAAUUGAAACUUUGACUUAGUGGCGGACGGGUGAGUAACGCGUGAGGAACCUGCCUUUCAGAGGGGGACAACAGUUGGAAACGACUGCUAAUACCGCAUGACACAGCGGGGUCGCAUGACUCUGCUGUCAAAGAUUUAUCGCUGAAAGAUGGCCUCGCGUCUGAUUAGAUAGUUGGUGAGGUAACGGCCCACCAAGUCGACGAUCAGUAGCCGGACUGAGAGGUUGAACGGCCACAUUGGGACUGAGAUACGGCCCAGACUCCUACGGGAGGCAGCAGUGGGGAAUAUUGGGCAAUGGGGGAAACCCUGACCCAGCAACGCCGCGUGAAGGAAGAAGGCUUUCGGGUUGUAAACUUCUUUUACCAGGGACGAAGGACGUGACGGUACCUGGAGAAAAAGCCACGGCUAACUACGUGCCAGCAGCCGCGGUAAUACGUAGGUGGCAAGCGUUGUCCGGAUUUACUGGGUGUAAAGGGCGUGUAGGCGGGAGAGCAAGUCAGAAGUGAAAUCUAUGGGCUUAACCCAUAAACUGCUUUUGAAACUGUUCUUCUUGAGUAUCGGAGAGGCAGGCGGAAUUCCUAGUGUAGCGGUGAAAUGCGUAGAUAUUAGGAGGAACACCAGUGGCGAAGGCGGCCUGCUGGACGACAACUGACGCUGAGGCGCGAAAGCGUGGGGAGCAAACAGGAUUAGAUACCCUGGUAGUCCACGCUGUAAACGAUGAAUACUAGGUGUGGGGGGACUGACCCCUUCCGUGCCGCAGUUAACACAAUAAGUAUUCCACCUGGGGAGUACGAUCGCAAGAUUGAAACUCAAAGGAAUUGACGGGGGCCCGCACAAGCAGUGGAUUAUGUGGUUUAAUUCGACGCAACGCGAAGAACCUUACCGGGAUUUGACAUCCUACUAACGAAGUAGAGAUACAUUAGGUGCCCUUCGGGGAAAGUAGAGACAGGUGGUGCAUGGUUGUCGUCAGCUCGUGUCGUGAGAUGUUGGGUUAAGUCCCGCAACGAGCGCAACCCCUAUUGUUAGUUGCUACGCAAGAGCACUCUAGCGAGACUGCCGUUGACAAAACGGAGGAAGGCGGGGACGACGUCAAAUCAUCAUGCCCCUUAUGUCCCGGGCUACACACGUAAUACAAUGGCGAAUAACAAAGGGAAGCAAAGCCGCGAGGUGGAGCAAAUCCCCAAAAUUCGUCUCAGUUCGGAUUGCAGGCUGCAACUCGCCUGCGUGAAAGUUGGAAUUGCUAGUAAUCGUAGAAUCAGCAUGCUACGGUGAAUACGUUCCCGGGCCU